AUACGGAGGGUGCAAGCGUUAAUCGGAAUUACUGGGCGUAAAGCGCGCGUAGGCGGUAAGGUCAGUCGGAUGUGAAAGCCCCGGGCUCAACCUGGGAACUGCAUUCGAUACUGCCUGACUAGAGUAUGGUAGAGGGAAGUGGAAUUUCCGGUGUAGCGGUGAAAUGCGUAGAUAUCAGAAGGAACACCAGUGGCGAAGGCGGCUGCCUGGACCAAUACUGACGCUGAGGUGCGAAAGCGUGGGGAGCAAACAGGAUUAGAAACCCUGGUAGUCC
rnacentral:rRNA from 1 species